rnacentral:rRNA from 1 species
UAAGUUGAUAGUGAAAUCGUGGGGCUCAACCUCAUAAACAUUACCAAAACUACUUUGACUAGAGAAUGAGAGAGGUCGCUGGAAUUUCUUGUGUAGGAGUGAAAUCCGUAGAUAUAAGAAGGAACACCGAUGGCGUAGGCAGGCGACUGGCUCAUUUCUGACGCUCAGGCACGAAAGCGUGGGGAGCGACCGGGAUUAGAUACCCCGUUAGUUCACGCCGUAAACGAUGGAUGCUA